rnacentral:tRNA from 2 species
AAGGCCUUAGCUUAAUUAAAGCGUCUGGGUUGCAUUCAGAAUAUGUGGGAUAGAGUCCUGCAGGCCUUA